UACGGGGGGGGCAAGCGUUGUUCGGAAUUACUGGGCGUAAAGGGCUCGUAGGCGGCCAACUAAGUCGGAUGUGAAAUCCCCAGGCUCAACCUGGGAACUGCAUCCGAUACUGGAUGGCUUGAAUUCGGGAGAGGGAUGCAGAAUUCCAGGUGUAGCGGUGAAAUGCGUAGAUAUCUGGAGGAAUACCGGUGGCGAAGGCGGCAUCCUGGACCGAGAUUGACGCUGAGGCGCGAAAGCCAGGGGAGCAAACGGG
rnacentral:rRNA from 1 species